UCUCGUUUUCAGGGUUUCAAAAUCUCCGAACCCAUUUAAUUUUUGUGAAGGGAACGAAUUAAUAUCAUUCCAUGAAGUUUUUGCGGGAUUUGCUCUGAACAGCAGAAUAAAAAUCUCGGAAGUUUUGAAAAAUUGACGUUGAGUAGUUUUCUAUUCGAAAAAUAAAGCAUAGCUGGAAGUCUGAAACGUUGCAAACCGAGAUACCUACGUGGUUUGGAGGUUUCACCGUUGUCGAUCUACCUUAAAUACCAAAUCCUACUGCAUCGCAUAUCUUGAUGAAAGGCGUGCAGGCAAUAUUCUGAUUGGUGCCGUUUGUAUAAUGACUUCAGUUGAAGAGUCUGCACUCUUAAAAAUCAAUGAUUUACUCUGAGAGAAUAGCCGGCGUGAAAAAAAUCCAGCGCGAAUUUCGCGCCGCGCUCUGAGUGAAUCGAUCAGAGCGUGAAUAUCACCAACGGCGGACAAAUUAGUUGAGCUCCCUCAAAUAGGGUGAAUUCAGCGUUGUCUGAUACGGACUUCGAAUUGCAAAAUGGUAACGCACUCGUCUAUCGCCGCCACGACUCGAGUUUAAAUCCAUGCUGCGGCAGUUCCGUUUUACAUUUGCCUGUCAGAUUUUCACUCCGGCCAGAGCGCGAAAUUCGCACCGGAUCCAUGCACUCACAGUAACAGGCGGUCAAAAUAGCAACUGUAAGCGUGAAUUUCGCGCCAGGAUUUUUCACAGUAUGUGGUAAACGAAGUGACAUGUUGUGAUUCCACGGAAGAUAUACUUAUUUGAAUAUGAAAAAAUUAAGUGAGACGCUAUAGCUUGGAAAAAGUUUAAAACGGGGGUCUGAGACUAGAACUCGAGUUCUGGCAUUCAUUUUGUACGUAUUACACUCGAAGCCUGUCACUAAUAUACUCCUGAUAAUGAAAAUCUCGCGUUUCGACAAAAACGCCACUCAAAACAAGUUCAUACACUAGACUCUUCAAUCAUGAAUAGUGCCUGUGCGACUCUUGGUUUAGGUUGAUACUGCCCUCUAAAUUUAAAUUGUUAAGUCACUAAUUUCUCGCUCGUAUUAACUUGGAUUCAGACUUUGAGGACUUUAGUAUGAGCGAACUUACUUUAAAACCACUUAUGGGGUAUGACACAGCCAAAAAUGAUGAUAGUUGAAUAGUCUAUACACUGUUAUUGAAACUCCGGCUGUGGAAGCCGUACUUACCGGCUGCACAGUCAGACCUUCUGUUCUGGGCUCAGAAGCCGGAAAUUCCGGGUGCUGAGGCUGUAGCUUCAACCGCUUCAAGUUCAAAGGCCAGAGCAACAGGUACUAGACCCGAAGUUUCUGGCCUCUUAAUCCGGAACGGACGGUAUGUCCAUACAGCCCGUGAGUAAAGCUUCCACAGCCGUAGUUUCUUUCUUUGGUUCGGUCGGUGCAAAGGCAAACCGAAUAACUGAACACAUCAUGCAUGCGUAAAAAUUCGAGGGUCAAACAUUAUCGCAUUCCUGUUAAGUAUUUUUCUUUUCUUCUUUUUAUUUGUUUCUGAUGUUUUUAGACGCCUGUAAAAAAUACAUUGAUAAAAAAGCUUCCUUGUAUAUUUUGUGGAUUGUAAUUUUUAGCGAAACGGCAAUUUCUUUUUUUAUCUCAUAUUGAGAAAACAAAUAGAGUUUAUGUUUGGCUGCCUUGAUUUUUAGCAUCCUCAUCCCCUAUAUCCGGAUGGGAUUACGUCGGUAUCCGAUCUUCGAAGAAUGACUCCAGCUAUGAUUCAAUGCCUUCUACCAGUGCUAAGUCACAUAAGAAUUAUUUUAAUUUGUAAAUUAUGUCAACCAGUGUAUAUAGUUACAUACUUAUUUGUAUAAAUGUAUCAGUUCAGUAAUUGUAUCAAAUAAUUUUGAAUAAAUUGAUUUCAAUUCCAUAA